AAAUCACCUUAAUUGGAAAUUACGUCUCCCAAUUGAAAAAAGGGUAAAUAAAUUUCCCUAAAUUGAAAACUUGAAAUCCCGACGAAAAUUAAGCUGCCCGGUGGCACUCCGGCCAAGAUUUUGGUUUUUGCAAAGACGAUCGUUGAACCAUUAUUUCAUCAUUCGCCAUCUCUGUUCACAUUUAACGUUUUUGAACACGGACUUUAACGCUCCAUCCAAGUUAUUUCCUCCUCCUCCAUCUCGCUCCCCAUUUUUGUAAGUUUCUUUGUUCGAGUUUUUGAAUUUUGAAAAGACAUUUGUAAAUUUAUAGCCCUUGAUGCUUUUGACUGAGGUGUUUAUGUCUUGAAGUAAUGAUGCCAUUGUGUUUCAAAGAGAUUAUACAUAAACACGACUAUUUCGUGAUUCGUGAAAUGGUGAUAGCUAGCUUCAUGAAAAUUACAAUGCUGUCAAAAUUUGGUUCCAAAUUAACGUAGUAUUCAGAUUAUUUGUCCAACUGAACUAUUGGAGCUAUUUCUCUCCUUGAUUAAUUGCCAGUUAAAAAAGUGUGAAUUGCAAGUUCUUAUCUUUGAUAUUUGCUAAUUUUUGAAAUUACCUUCUCUAUAUUUGAAUUAUUGGAUGACAAAAUCAUACACUAAUUUGCAAAUUAAUCCAGUUCAGAUCCAUUGCAUCAGUAAUAAAUUGUCAAAGAUGAUAACUAAUGCUGUUGUUAUUACUUUAAAUCAUAUCUGUUGUUAUUGUAUAUUCUUAUGCUAUUGGAUUGAUUCUCAAUAUCAUAGAUUAAACAGUAUUUUCUCCAUAUUGGUAAAGAGAAUAGUCACUUUAUAACUAUGAAUUAAAUGUACUUUUUUUUUCUACUUUUACAGGUUUACGAAUCUGCUCGUUUUAGCAUAAUAAUGGCUGGGUUGAAGGAGAUCCCUUGUGAAGUCUUGCCUCUUGGGAAGUUUGCUGAAGAAAGUGAAAGGAUAGCUCGUUCAAGGAUGCAGCCAAAUGAUCACUUGUAUAGCCUUUUACUAAUUUUUUGAGACAUGCAAAUGUUGUUCCUGUUUUUUGUACUUACAAUUUAACCAAAUAUAAAUUUAUCUCAGACAAUGCUUAAGAAAUUGCAUGUGG
rnacentral:lncRNA from 1 species